UACGUAGGGGGCAAGCGUUGUCCGGAUUUAUUGGGCGUAAAGCGCUCGCAGGUGGUUCGUCGCGUCGUGCGUGAAAGACCCCGGCUCAACUGGGGAGGGUCGUGCGAUACGGGCGAACUGGAGGCCAGUAGGGGGAUGCGGAAUUCCGGGUGUAGUGGUGGAAUGCGUAGAGAUCCGGAGGAACACCAGCGGCGAAGGCGGCAUCCUGGACCGACAUUGACGCUGAGGAGCGAAAGCUAGGGGGAGCAAACGGGG
rnacentral:rRNA from 1 species